UACAGAGGUCUCAAGCGUUGUUCGGAUUCAUUGGGCGUAAAGCGCGCGUAGGCGGCCAGAUAAGUCCGGUGUGAAAGUCACAGGCUCAACCUGUGAAUGCCGCUGGAAACUGUCUGGCUCGAGUCCGGGAGGGGCGAGUGGAAUUCCUGGUGUAGCGGUGAAAUGCGCAGAUAUCAGGAAGAACACCCGUGGCGAAGGCGGUUCUCUGGGACGGUACUGACGCUGAGACGCGAAAGCGUGGGGAGCGAACAGG
rnacentral:rRNA from 1 species